rnacentral:rRNA from 1 species
GUGCCAGCCGCCGCGGUAAUACGUAGGGGGCAAGCGUUGUCCGGAUUUAUUGGGCGUAAAGAGCGUGUAGGCGGUUCGGUAGGUCCGUUGUGAAAACUCGAGGCUCAACCUCGAGACGCCGAUGGAAACCAUCGAACUAGAGUCCGGAAGAGGAGAGUGGAAUUCCUGGUGUAGCGGUGAAAUGCGCAGAUAUCAGGAAGAACACCCGUGGCUAAGGCGGCUCUCUAGUACGGUACUGACGCUGAGACGCGAAAGCGUGGGGAGCGAACAGGAUUAGAAACCCGCGUAGUCC